AUACGUAGGUGACAAGCGUUAUCCGGAUUUACUGGGCGUAAAGGGCGUGUAGGCGGUCUUGCAAGUCAGAAGUGAAAUUCCUGAGCUCAACUCGGGCGCUGCUUCUGAAACUGCAGGACUUGAGUGCUGGAGGGGAUAGCGGAAUUCCUAGUGGAGCGGUAAAAUGCGCAGAUAUUAGGAAGAACACCGGGGGCGAAGGCGGCUAUCGGGACACGAACGGACGUCGAGGGGCGAAGGCGUGGGGGACAAACAGGAUUGGAUCCCCUGGUCGUCGAGGCCGUAAACGAUGAAUACUAGGUGUAGGGGGUAUCGACUCCCUCUGUGCCGCAGUUAACACAAUAAGUAUUCCGCCUGGGGAGUACGGCCGCAAGGUUGAAACUCAAAGGAAUUGACGGGG
rnacentral:rRNA from 1 species